UGGGGAAUAUUGGACAAUGGGCGAAAGCCUGAUCCAGCCAUGCCGCGUGUGUGAAGAAGGUCUUCGGAUUGUAAAGCACUUUAAGUUGGGAGGAAGGGCAUUUACCUAAUACGUAAGUGUUUUGACGUUACCGACAGAAUAAGCACCGGCUAACUCUGUGCCAGCAGCCGCGGUAAUACAGAGGGUGCAAGCGUUAAUCGGAAUUACUGGGCGUAAAGCGCGCGUAGGUGGUUUGUUAAGUUGGAUGUGAAAUCCCCGGGCUCAACCUGGGAACUGCAUUCAAAACUGACAAGCUAGAGUAUGGUAGAGGGUGGUGGAAUUUCCUGUGUAGCGGUGAAAUGCGUAGAUAUAGGAAGGAACACCAGUGGCGAAGGCGACCACCUGGACUGAUACUGACACUGAGGUGCGAAAGCGUGGGGAGCAAAACAGGAUUAGAUACCCUGGUAGUCCACGCCGUAAAACGAUGUCAACUAGCCGUUGGGAGCCUUGAGCUCUUAGUGGCGCAGCUAACGCAUUAAGUUGACCGCCUGGGGAGUACGGCCGCAAGGUUAAAACUCAAAUGAAUUGACGGGGUCAUAGCUGUUUCCUG
rnacentral:rRNA from 1 species